rnacentral:siRNA from 1 species
UUCCGAGAUCGCCGUAGCUUCCAA